rnacentral:rRNA from 1 species
GAUGAACGCUGGCGGCGUGCCUAAUACAUGCAAGUCGAGCGAACAGACGAGGAGCUUGCUCCUCUGACGUUAGCGGCGGACGGGUGAGUAACACGUGUAUAACCUACCUAUAAUACUGGGAUAACUUCGGGAAACCGGAGCUAAUACCGGAUAAUAUAUUGAACCGCAUGGUUCAAUAGUGAAAUACGGUUUUUCUUUCACUUAUAGAUGGUUCCGCGCCGCAUUAUCUAGUUGGUAAGGUAACGGCUUACCAAGGCAACGAUGCGUAGCCGACCUGAGAGGGUGAUCGGCCACACUGGAACUGAGACACGGUACAGACUACUACGGGAGGCAGCAGUAGGGAAUAUUCCACAAUGGGCGAAAGCAUGACGGAGCAACGCCGCGUGAGUGAUGAAGGUCUUCGGAUCGUAAAACUCUGUUAUUAGGGAAGAAAAAAUGUGUAAGUAAAUAUGCACGUAUUGACGGUAACUAAUCAGAAAGCCACGGCUAACUACGUG